AACAGGUUAAGCUGACGAGUGGCGAACGGGUGAGUAAUGUAUCGGAACGUGCCCAGUCGUGGGGGAUAACUGCUCGAAAGAGCAGCUAAUACCGCAUACGACCUGAGGGUGAAAGCGGGGGAUCGCAAGACCUCGCGCGAUUGGAGCGGCCGAUAUCAGAUUAGGUAGUUGGUGAGGUAAAGGCUCACCAAGCCGACGAUCUGUAGCUGGUCUGAGAGGACGACCAGCCACACUGGGACUGAGACACGGCCCAGACUCCUACGGGAGGCAGCAGUGGGGAAUUUUGGACAAUGGGCGCAAGCCUGAUCCGGCCAUGCCGCGUGCGGGAAGAAGGCCUUCGGGUUGUAAACCGCUUUUGUCAGGGAAGAAAAGGUUCUGGCUAAUACCUGGGACUCAUGACGGUACCUGAAGAAUAAGCACCGGCUAACUACGUGCCAGCAGCCGCGGUAAUACGUAGGGUGCAAGCGUUAAUCGGAAUUACUGGGCGUAAAGCGUGCGCAGGCGGUUAUGCAAGACAGAGGUGAAAUCCCCGGGCUCAACCUGGGAACUGCCUUUGUGACUGCAUGGCUAGAGUACGGUAGAGGGGGAUGGAAUUCCGCGUGUAGCAGUGAAAUGCGUAGAUAUGCGGAGGAACACCGAUGGCGAAGGCAAUCCCCUGGACCUGUACUGACGCUCAUGCACGAAAGCGUG
rnacentral:rRNA from 1 species